rnacentral:lncRNA from 1 species
UUUCUUUUAAAAUUUUAUUUUCAUUUUCAGUAUCUUUCAGACAUGUAUAAUAAAACACAGACUCAAAUAUGACUAACAAUGUACAUAAUUACAUAAAUAGUUUGACUACAUCUAAUAAUAUAUACAUUCAUAAUCUAAAUUUGUGGUUAAUCUGAACAAUAUCAGAACUUAUUUCAUGCUCUAUUGCAGACAAUCUAUACGGCAGAUAAAACAUGUACAAUAGGAUCUGUGGCAACCGAUAGCUAUUAAAAACAAUUGGUUUCAGAUUACAAAGUACACAGGAAAGACUGUCAUGCACAAAAUUUGUUGCAUAAUUUUACAUUGAUUUCUUUUUUUGAUUUUUUUUGUCAAAGUUUUUUUUUUAAAGUUUCAUUUUUAACAAUUAGAAAAAAAAUAGGAAUCAGAUUUUAAAUCAGGUGCAGUAUGUUUAACAACUUAAAUCUAAAAAUAAAAAAAAAUAAAAAUAUCGCUAACAAACACAUUUUCUUCCAAUCUAUCACCAAACAAGCGGGAAAUAUUCUAUUAUACAAGCACUGGUUUUCUGUCAAACUUGAGUCCUAACAUUUUCACAAAUUCAUUAUUUAUAAAAAUACUUCACUUUAAAAUCCUUCUGUAAGCAGAUACAUUACACUCAAAAGAAAAUAUUCCAGUACUUAAAUUUCAAAUUGAUUCCUUUUCUACUGAAAAAAGGGUUCUUUUAGAACAGUCUGUCAAGCUCAAGUUAUAUCCCUUAUGGAAGCAAAAAUUCAUAAGGAUUUGAGAACUUUACAUUUGUACUUCCUGAUUUUUUUCUGAGUAAUUUUGGUUUAAGAUAAAUGAGCUAUGAACUAAGCCUCGAAUAAAAUUGAUAUCAUAAUGACCUCGAAGAAAUAUGGACAAAUCUGAAAUAUUAUAAUAAACACCAACAAAUAUCAAUAAAACCUUCAUAGUAUUAUCAAUAACAAGUGUUAACAGAAAUCUUUCAUGAUUAGAAACAUAAUGUCAACUGAUAAUCAGAGCUAAGACAUGCAAAUGAUACAAAAAUGACUCAUGGCUAAUGUUUGAAUUUUUUUGCAUGCAUUCUCUAUUUUCUUUUGAAGAAACUAUAACGCAACAUUUACAUUGGAUUGAUCCCAAAAACAUGAGAAAGAUAAAAUGGUCAUGGUAUAUUUCUAGAUGUUUAAUAUGUUGUUAGGUCAUUUGUGUGUACCAAAUAUUCCCUUUAUUGCUGAGUUCACACGUAAUUCAAAUUCGAUUCGCAUUAAAUAAUUAGAAUUAGUUUAAUUCACAUUCGAAACAUUUUACAUCCUAACGUCAAUUCUAAUUCGAAUUGCAAAGCGGAUCAAAUUCAGUUUACUGUCCAAAUGAUAUUACCUUUUAAUUCGUAUUAUCAAAAGAGUAUUUCAUUGGAUAAUUCAAAUUUAAAAAAAGAGUGUGUGAAUGCGAUUAGCGAAUUCCAUUCACAUUCAAUUAUAAUUCUAUUGGAAUUAAAUGUAUGUGUGCUCGAUGCAUAAAUCAUACACAUAAAUGCAUUAGGCAAUGUAAGAGUUUUGGAAGUUCAAUAUGAGAUGCUAUGCCGUGUGUAGAAUACAUAAUGCAGUCUUUAAUUGAAAACAAAUUCUAUCAGUUGUAUGGUAAUGUUAUGACAUAAGAGCUUCAUUAAUAAUCCUACUUGAGAAAAAUGAGUUUUGGUGUUUAUUUAAGUGACAAAAAU